rnacentral:rRNA from 1 species
UACGGAGGGGGCUAGCGUUGUUCGGAAUUACUGGGCGUAAAGCGCACGUAGGCGGACUGUUAAGUCGGGGGUGAAAUCCCCCGGCUCAACCGGGGAACUGCACCUGAUACUGUUGGGCUUGAGUGCAGGAGGGGAGAGCGGAAUUCCUGGUGGAGCGGUGAAAUGCGUAGAUAUCAGGAGGAACGCCGGCGGCGAAAGCGGCUCUCUGGUCUGUUACUGACGCUGAGGCGCGAAAGCUAGGGGAGCAAACGGG